rnacentral:rRNA from 1 species
UGAGGAAUAUUGGUCAAUGGACGGAAGUCUGAACCAGCCAUGCCGCGUGAAGGAAUAAGGCCCUACGGGUCGUAAACUUCUUUUGUGGUGGAGCAAUAAGACGUACGCGUACGUCGAUGAGAGUACAUCACGAAUAAGCAUCGGCUAACUCCGUGCCAGCAGCCGCGGUAAUACGGAGGAUGCGAGCGUUAUCCGGAUUUAUUGGGUUUAAAGGGUGCGUAGGCGGAUUAUUAAGUCAGCGGUGAAAGCGUGUGGCUCAACCAUACCGAGCCGUUGAAACUGGUAGUCUUGAGUGCAAAUGAGGUAGGCGGAAUGUGACGUGUAGCGGUGAAAUGCUUAGAUAUGUCCCAGAACUCCGAUUGCGAAGGCAGCUUACCAAGAUGUAACUGACGCUGAUGCACGAAAGCGUGGGUAUCAAACAGGAUUAGAUACCCUGGGUAGU